CGAUUCUGGCUCAGAUUGAACGCUGGCGGCAGGCUUAAUACAUGCAAGUCGAACGUAGCAGCAGGAAGGCUUGCCUUUCUGGCUGACGAGUGGCGGACGGGUGAGUAAGUACCUGGGAAACUGCCUAUAAGAGGGGGACAACACCUGGAAACGGGUGCUAAUACCGCAUAAGCCCUGAGGGAAAAGGAUGGGAAACCAUGCGCUUAUAGAUGUGCCCAGGAGGGAUUAGCUAGUUGGGGAGGUAAAGGCUCACCAAGGCGACGAUCUCUAGCUGGUCUGAGAGGAUGAUCAGCCACAUUGGGACUGAGACACGGCCCAAACUCCUACGGGAGGCAGCAGUAGGGAAUAUUGCACAAUGGGGGGAACCCUGAUGCAGCCAUGCCGCGUGUGUGAAGAAGGCCUUCGGGUUGUAAAGCACUUUCAGCGGGGAGGAAGGCUGGAGCUCCAACAGGGCUUUCAGUCAGACGUUACCCGCAGAAGAAGCGCCGGCUAACUCCGUGCCAGCCGCGGC
rnacentral:rRNA from 1 species